rnacentral:rRNA from 1 species
UGGGGAAUUUUGGACAAUGGGCGAAAGCCUGAUCCAGCAAUGCCGCGUGUGUGAAGAAGGCCUUCGGGUUGUAAAGCACUUUUGUCCGGAAAGAAAUCCUUGGCUCUAAUACAGCCGGGGGAUGACGGUACCGGAAGAAUAAGCACCGGCUAACUACGUGCCAGCAGCCGCGGUAAUACGUAGGGUGCAAGCGUUAAUCGGAAUUACUGGGCGUAAAGCGUGCGCAGGCGGUUUGCUAAGACCGAUGUGAAAUCCCCGGGCUCAACCUGGGAACUGCAUUGGUGACUGGGCAGGCUAGAGUAUGGCAGAGGGGGGUAGAAUUCCACGUGUAGCAGUGAAAGUGCGUAGAGAUGUGGAGGAAUACCGAUGGCGAAGGCAGCCCCCUGGGCCAAUACUGACGCUCAUGCACGAAAGCGUGGGGAGCAAACAGGAUUAGAUACCCUGGUAGUCCACGCCCUAAACGAUGUCAACUAGUUGUUGGGGAUUCAUUUCCUUAGUAACGUAGCUAACGCGUGAAGUUGACCGCCUGGGGGAGUACGGUCGCAAGAUUAAAACUUAAAGGAAUUGACGGGGUCAUAGCUGUUUCCU